rnacentral:rRNA from 1 species
GACGAACGCUGGCGGCGUGCUUAACACAUGCAAGUCGAACGGAAAGGCCCUGCUUUUGUGGGGUGCUCGAGUGGCGCACGGGUGUGUAACACGUGAGUAACCUGCCCUUUACUCUGGGGUAACUUCAGGAAACUGGGGCUAUUACCGGAUAGGAGCUCCUGCUGCAUGGUGGGGGUUGGAAAGUUUCGGCGGUUGGGGAUGGACUCGCGGCUUAUCAGCUCGUUGUGGGGGUGGUGGCUUACCCUGGCUUUGACGGGUCGCCGGGCUGAGAGGGUGACCUGCCACAUUGGGACUGAGAUACGGCGCAGACUGCGACGGGAGGCAGCAGUGGGGAAUAUUGCACAAUGGGCGGAAGCCUGAUGCAGCAACGCCGCGUGCGGGAGGACGGCCUUCGGGUUGUAAACCGCUUUCGCCUGUGACGAAGCGUGAGUGACGGUAAUGGGUAAAGAAGCACCGGCUAACUACGUG